GACGAACGCUGGCGGCGUGCCUAAUACAUGCAAGUUGAGCGAUGAAGAUUGGUGCUUGCACCAAUUUGAAGAGCAGCGAACGGGUGAGUAACGCGUGGGGAAUCUGCCUUUGAGCGGGGGACAACAUUUGGAAACGAAUGCUAAUACCGCAUAAUAACUUUAAACAUAAGUUUUAAGUUUGAAAGAUGCAAUUGCAUCACCCAAAGAUGAUCCCGCGUUGUAUUGGCUAGUUGGUGAGGUAAAGGCUCACCAAGGCGAUGAUACAUAGCCGACCUGAGAGGGUGAUCGGCCACAUUGGGACUGAGACACGGCCCAAACUCCUACGGGAGGCAGCAGUAGGGAAUCUUCGGCAAUGGACGAAAGUCUGACCGAGCAACGCCGCGUGAGUGAAGAAGGUUUUCGGAUCGUAAAACUCUGUUGGUAGAGAAGAACGUUGGUGAGAGUGGAAAGCUCAUCAAGUGACGGUAACUACCCAGAAAGGGACGGCUAACUACGUG
rnacentral:rRNA from 1 species